rnacentral:lncRNA from 1 species
UGUUUGAAAAAUACGUUUCCUUUUUACCGUUAAAUUUCUUAUUUUAUGUAUUAAAAUAAACUCUUUUAAAUUAAAAUUCCUUUUUAUAUUUUAAUUAAUUUCAUAGAAUAAGUUAAAAGAUCAUGAAAAAUGCAUCAGACACAAUUUGUGUCGACAAUAAAUUUAAAAUAAUUGUGUUGCUUCAUAUCCUAAAAGGAAUUAUUUAUUGAGUCAUCAAAAAAAUAUAUUUAAAAAAAAAUAAUUGAUUACCCCUAAAUAAAUAAAUUAAAAAAAAAAGACUCCAGGAAAAAAAAAUUCAAAAUUUUUUAUCGAUUGUUGUUGUCUGCCUUCACCGAGCAGCCGUUGUGCAACGAUCAUCGUCAAGUCACCACCCUAACUCACAACCAAUAGUCGGCCGAUGGAAUCAAUUAUAUAUGGUAGUUUUGCCCCUAUUAGUAGGACUCCCUAAACCGAUGUUUUUGAUUAUGUUCAUCUGCCGAAAGAAAAGCAUGUUCCUCUUGAUAAUCCGUUAUCUAAGGUGGGUUCAUUUGCUUUAAAGUUAUAUUUAUCUAAAAAACACAUUAUAUACGUUUUGUGAAAUAACUGUCGUAUUUGUUAUUUAGGUUGUUUUGCCAAAUUAAGGAAUUAUCAAAAAAAUCAUAAGACCAAUUUUGCAACAAAUUGUAAUGAUCAUUUUGUGUUAAACUUAAUAAUAUGGUUAUCUGUCUAUGCUAUCAUUUGAUAUAUUUUUUUAAUUAGCCCUUUACAGAUAUAAUAAAUUGUAUACAUUUUGGAGUUUAAUGUUGAUGAUAUUCUAGUUCCCAUUUUCUUAAUAAAAAAAACUUUCUUUUGAUAACUCUAAAAAGGCUAUUUUACUUUAUUGUCCCCACAAAGUGUAGUGAGAACUGAGAAGGUUGUGGCAAACUAGCAUUUGGCCACCAAGUGAACUAAAAUAAUAUACAAUUUUAUUGAGUUUUGAUGAAUAUAGUUAUUUAUGUAGUUGUAUAUGUAUAGAAAGUGAUACUGUCUUGAUGUUCUUAUACAAAAAGCAAAACAUGGCAGACUUUAUUAGGUGCCCAUAUGAUGCUCCAUCACAAAAAGUGUACGGUUUAAGGUUUUUUUUAAUUAUAUUUUAAACUUGAAUUUUUAUCGAUCAGUUUUAAAAACUUAGAGAUUAUAAAAACUAGUUGUGAGAUCCAUAUAAUAUAUGAGUUAAUUUAAAAAAAAAAAAAUUUAAAAAGGAAAAGUUAAUAUAUAAGGUCUAAAUAAUUGAAAACUAUGAAUUUAUAAGAAAAUAAGAAAAAUAAUGAAUUAUUAAAUUUGAAAUGUUUUUUAUAUUUUAAAUUAAAAAAAAUAAUUUAAAUAAAUAAACAAAAUAAACUAAUAAACUUUAAUUAAAAAUUUUGAAAUUAGAAAGUAAGUUCGUUAAUGAAAUUAAUAUCCAUUUAUUACUAUAUUUAUUGCAAUUAUUACAUUAAAAUAUUAUAUGAAAUUUAAUAAAAUAGAAAAACUCAUAAAAUGACAUGUGGAAAUAAAAUUAAUUCAAAAUUAUAACAAAUUGACAUUUAUCAAAUUGAAGGAGAGCAUGUCAUGUGGCAAAAAAAUUCUUUAUUUAUUAAGUAGGAUACUUUAAUCCCUAAAUUUUUUGCACAAGUUUUGGUCAAAUAAAUGGUUAUAACUUAUAGUACUAGAUAUAUGAUUUUUUUCUAAAAAUGUUUGAAGGUUUGGUAUAGUUAUAAUAUAUUAACUAUGUUCAAACGGAAACAAUUAUAAAAUCGUUAUCAAAUCGAGAACGCAAUAAUAUAUGAACUAUGUUCAAACAAAAACAAUUAUAAAAUUGCUAUGAAAUCGAGAACGCAAGACUAAGUGUUAAUUAUUUAUUUUGGAAUAAUAUUUUAUCAAAGUUUUUUUAAUAUAUUAAAAUUUUUAAUUUUUAAUUCUUUAUAAAUUAACAAUAAUAGUAAUACUUUUAAACAAAUACAAAUGUUUUUAUUUUUUAUUAUAUUUAUUAAUCAUAUUUUAUUAAACUAUUCACAUGUAAUUAAAAGUUAAAUCUUGCUAUUCAAAUUUGAUUAAACCAUGUUUUAACGUUCUCAACUUCCUAAUUGUUCUCAUUUAAACCUCCCUAUACUAAUAUUAGGGUUAUACUUGUUCGAUUAUUGAUCUUGGUACCCAACUCUAAACAAUUUACUCCCUCCGUACCAUAUUAAUAGUUCAUAUUUCCUUUUUUGCUUGUCCCAAAAUAAUAGCCUACUUCUAAAAAUAAAUAUUUCUUUUACCAAAAUACCCCUCAUUAUUAGUUAAACUAUCACAUAAUAAAAUGCAACUACAACGAAAUUAAAUGCAACAAACGGGUAAGACUAUCAUUCAAUUUAGUAAUGUUAUUGGUAAUUAAUGUUUUCUUAAUUAGUGUGUUUUUUUGUAUGUGGACAAUAAUUUUGGGACGGAAGGAUUAAUACCUAAUGUUAUCUAAAUAGCCACAAUCAAAACAUAAUAACUACAGUUUUAAAACAUUACCGACUAUAACAACCACAAACAAAACACAAAAUCCAAUAUCUUACCCAUGCAACACUUCAACACUUCAAACUCUAUCUUGCUGGUACCUCCACCCCUGCUGAGCCUUGCAUGUCCUUGAAUUAUGGCCCUUAUUGUUACAGUUACCAUAUAUCAUACUUACAAACUUCCUAGUGAACUUCUCACUUUCACAUUGACCUUGGUGUAGUCUCCCUUUCAGACUUUGGUUAACAUUCUUCUCAUAUUCACUUUGUUUCAUUUUCCUUUUUGGUCUUCCUGCCUGUUUGUGGUGGGGUGGGGGUAAGGGUUGUUGGACAACAGGACAACCACUCUUAGGUCAUAUGCUCCUUCCUUUUGAGAAGGUCCACUGUGAAAGUGUACAUGGCUUUCCAUGAUUCUAGCCAAUACACCUUAUGUACAUAGGUGUAUAGUUCUCAUUCUCUCAUCAUUAUCUUCCAUUUCAUUUAUUGAUAUAAUUGCAUUCUUGCAGGGCAUGCCUGUCAACUCCUAUUCCUUACAACUGUAAUUCAACUGCCUCAUGUCCACGACAUGUUGAUCAUGUCAUGGCCCUUUUACCUAGUAUUUAUUCACUACAUUUCAUCUUGCAGUGUACUGUGAAGCACUUGAUAUGCUAGCUUGUAAUUGCCUUUUACCAGUAGGUGUGAGUGGACCUGUGCAUUUCUUUAUAACCUUCAUCACAUUGCAUACUCUUUUUCUAAGAUAUUCCCUUAUGAACUCCAAACAAGUUAUUAUUGGUUUAUCCCUCCCAUUUAUAAGCUUGCUAUUCAAAAAUUGUUCAACAACAUAUUUGAUGUUUCCCUCCCUGUUGUUUUAUAGUACAUAUUGGUAAGUUGAAUCAUAUGAAUCAUGUAACUAUAUAAAAUUAUAAAAAUACGAAAUUACCUGAGAAAUGGCUUUUAGCCCAGUGAUGGGGAGGGAUUUGCAUAAGCCGCUUAUAUGCAUUUUUUUCAUCGCAAUUGAACUAUCUCAUCAUUGUUUCAAAGUCUAGAAUGGUUGUGUUUGUAGUACACUUCCACAAGUAUUCCUUAUACUCAUUAGUCUUCCACUUUUUUCUUCAUAUUUAUAUAGAUGUGUCUUAGAAAAUACCUAUGUUAAACACAAGGAAAUAAUUGUGCAACAACAGGUAUGACACCCUAUUUGAAUGAAAUAAAAGGCUAAAUUAGUAUGUGAGUAUAACUUAGAUAAGAAAUUAAUGGAAAAAAUACCAUAUGUUUUUCACUGAAUGUAACAUCCCAAAAAUUACAGAGAGAUUUUUGUUAAUAAAGUAGAUUAACCAAUUAAACCUUUGCUUCAAAAACCAUUGAGUAACAUUUGUUAGAUUGAAAUGAUAUAUUAUCAGAGUUAAGCUUACAAAACCGUGGGAACUUGAUGAGUGUCUACAGUCCUGCUGAACUCUUCUCACGAACGACCUGUAAAAAAGUUUAAUCCACAAAUGUGAUAACUCAAAUUAAAAUAAAUAUAUAAAUAUAUGGUAUAAAUAUAUUAUUAUAAUUAUGAUUAAGGAAUUAAUUAGGAGUAAAUAGAAAAAUUAUAGAAUUUUAAUUCCAAAAUCCAUCACGUGAUUAGAGUCAUAAAUUUGGACUUUUAGGUUAACUAGAAAGGUUACAAACUUGGACAUUAUAAAAGGCACAAGAAAUAGAGUGGAAUGCCAACAAAAAUUGUGAAGAAAGGUGGAGAAACAAGGGAGAAUUCCUUGAAGGAAGUUGUGAAGUUAUUUUUCGUAGUGUGAACAAUUGAGGUAUGUCUCUCCAAUUUAAGAUAGAAUUCGUUGUUUGAGUAAGAUUAAAUUCAUGUUCUACAUGUUUUGGUUCAACAAAAUUGUCUAUUUCUUGGCCAAAAAAAUAAAUGAAUUUAGUGAAAUUUGAAUUGAUAAAUUUUGUUACAAAAUGAUCAAGAAUUAUCUUGUUUAUUCUAAUUAUGUUACAAAUAAUGGAAAUAAAGAAUUAACUAUUAAAUGGAAGUAUUCCAAAAAAGCAAACUUGAGCUUUAAAAAAAUUGACAGAAAGUAAUAGGGAAUUUUGGGUGAAGAAGAAAGAAAAUCGGAUCUUUUGGGGUGGGUACAGUGGGUUUGUAAAGCCUUGAACAUUUUUGUUUAGAGUGAAAAACGAAAUUUUAUAAUGAGUCCUUGUAUAUUCACAUGUUACCUUUAGAGUACCUUCUUUCUUUUUAACUGAUAUCAAGGUUACAGAUUCUACCCUAGAGUUUUAAUGUCUUGUUGAGUUCUCUUUGAUUAAAAAGUUUAUAAAUAUUUUCACAUUUAGUCCUUACAGGACCAAACGCUUUUGUUAUUUUCUCUAAUGAAAAUCAAAUAUAUACAAAGUUGACUUUUAGUAAACUAUUAGCUAUUAUUAUUGUUAUUAAAACCAACUUUUUGUGUAAGUUAAGUGCGUCUGAAUAUUUUUCUAAGUCUCUAGAAAUACGGUUUUAGUCCUUGAAAUUUUGAUAAAUUAAUUUUUUACCUACCUAAAGGUAGUAUCUUACUUUUGGUGAGUAUUAGUUUAAAAAUGGAAUUUGCAUUCUGGCAAAGUAAUCAAAUCAAAUAUUAAAUAUACAUGUUAAUGUUGCAAAAUUUUAACAAAUAUUUUACGGCUUCAUAUUUUUAAAUAUGUUGAUAUGUCAAACAUAGAUAUAUUAUUUCUACUAAAAUAGUUAUGAAUGUUGUAGUUAAUGUAAUUACAUAAUUACAAUUUUUUGGCCGAACGAGACACAUGUACAGUUGAACCAAAACAAACUCAUAAGAUUUAUUCUAGGAUCAUUGUUGGUGUAAUGUAGGGUAGAAAUAAUGUGAGGAGAUUCGAUUAACAUCUAUCGACAACGAGGUGAGUUUUUUUUCGUGUUCUGUGGUUGCUCGCACAUAAGUGUUUACCAUGCGUUUAUUAUGUGGUUUUUAUUUAUUUAUUGACAAUAUGUUUUAUGAUAAGUAUGGUUAUGUGCAAAUGUUAUUUUGGAAUUGUUGACUACUGUGUGUGUGUGUGUUUUUUUUUUUUGGUUGACAUGUUUAUUGGGAACGGCUGGGGUGUUUAAUCGCCAUGAGCAUGACGGAUGUGUGUGAUCAGCGGGGAUGAGAAUUGAGAUUUAUACUCAUUUCCUUGGAUAUUUAAAAUACUUGAGUACAAUGGAUGAUGAGUUGUCUCAAGGAGAAGGGAAAUGAACCUCUGGUUCUUUCUCUGGACAAUUAAUCGUUCCCCUAAAUUAUGUCAUCGGGUGAUAUAUUAGUUGUAUGAUUUAUUGAAGAUAUAUGAUAAAACUAUUUGUUUUUUCUAAGUGAUGGACAUGUAUGUGCAACACGAACUCACUAGGCCCUAGGCUUACCCAUUUAGAAACUUUAAAUGUGUGCAACCCAGGAAACUAUUUAAAAGUGGUAGUAAGAAGGCUAGGGAGAAGGAUUGAUCAACAAGACGAACAAGGAAUUCCGUAAAGACGUAACACCCGAAGCUCUUCGGUUGAAGACUAUAUUUUAUUUUGCUUCCGCUGUAUUUUAGUCUAUAAGUAAGUUCUUAAUUGAUCUUGGGAGAUGUUGGAACGAUUAUUUGUUAUAUAAUCUAUAUAUGAAAAUUGGGGUGUUAUAACAAAUGUAAGAAUAUAGCUUAGUGAGUUCACCAAUAUACCACAUAUUCGACCAUACAUGCAAUGCAUCAACAUACAAUCCUCGACUUUAGCAUCGAGCAACCAAAACUCAUAUCCACAUACAUAUAUCAUACAUAACAAGCCCAACCCAAGAGUUCGUGUGCCUAGCCCAACUUAUAUAACACCCGCCGCCCAAACAUAUAUAACGAGCCCCACCCAACGAUACAUAACGGGCCUCGCCUAAGGAGUAAACGGGUUGAACCCAAAAUCCACUACCAAGAGCUAAAUCAUGGUCUUCCUUACACAUGUCAAGUUUUAGAUCUUGGUCUUUCAUACAAUUCAUAAAGUCAUAUAUAGUUAGGGAUCAGAUAGACAAUCGUACAGAAGAACCACAUGAGAGCGAAUAAUCAGACAGGAACAUCACAAUUACGCAUUAAACUAAGAGUUCUCAUGCUAUCUAAUUUAAACUACAUAGAACCAAAGCAAUCAUUCCCAUAUAAUCAUGUAACAUAAACACAUACAUACACAAACAUAUGACAUCCCCUUGGCAAAUAGCCUUCCCUAGUUACCAUGCCAUUGAUUACUUCUCAAUUAAGUCAUUCGUUGGUUAAUCAUACAUAAUCUUGAUAACUGGCCUUCCCAAGUUACCCUAACAAAACAUAACUCCUAACAAUAGUAUAUAAUGAACAUGCAAGAUCCUACUGGUCUAACAUACCCUGACACCAAGUGUCUUACACUGCACAUAUAUACUAGGGAGUUAUCCUAGUCAACUAGCAUACUUGUACUCUUAAAGUAUCUCUAUCAUACCAUGCAAAUGAUAUACAAUGGGAUACAUGGUAUAGUGAAAAACUCACUUGAUCUAAAGAAUCGGAGAAGAAUAACAACACUCUUACUGCUUGCAAGGAUCAAUUCCGCAAACUAGCUAACACCAAAACAUAUAAAUCCUCAAUCAUCAACCCAAUACCUCCAAGUUUGACCCAAAGUCAAACUUUUCAAAAGUCAACGGUCAACGGUCAACAAAAUUCAACAAUCAACCAAGUCAACCAUCACCACGAUAUGGUGACCUCUUCGCCAUGUCGUGGGUAUGCCUAAACAAAAUAGUCACGAGGCUAAACCCCACCACGACAUGGUGACCUCUCGGUCAUGUCGAGGUAACUGUCAAAAGACAUUUUUCUCAUUAAGAACUUGAUCCUUACAGAUCAAGGCUCAUACAUUGAGAUCUGAUUCUUCUUAAUGACUUAGUGGAUAAUAUUUCCAAAUUUGUCCAUUAGGACUUCACCACAAGAAAAAAUCUUAAACCCUAAGUCUAUAAAGUCCUUAAUAUCACCACAACUUGUGCAUGGAACAAAGGGGGUCAUGACUUAACACUUUUUCCAUCAAAUAACGCCAAAAGAUUGUCACUAAAAAUGCCUAAGGUUCUGGAGUUGCCAAAAAAUCCAAGAACAUUCUUUCAAGGGACUUCAAAGCAAGAAAUAAGAGAAGAGAAUGAUAAACGUGGAAGCUUUAUAUCUUCCCAAGCUCCAUAAUAUGCAUGAGAUGCAAGAUCUGAAGUGGAUACACUCUUCCAACUAGCAAGCACACCUUAUUCUUCUUUGAAAAAUUCAAACCAAGGCUUCAAACUUCAAGAACACCAAGAAUACAACAAGAAUCACUGAAAGGGGGCUAAGGUUUUGUUUUGGAAGAUUAGAGACUGAAGAGGAUGCCCUAAUCUUGGAUUUAGAGGCUUUAAAUAUGGUAGAAACCCUAAAAAUCAUGGGCUUAGGCUGUAGCAGCCACCGCGUCGUGGCAUCCCACUUGUCACGUGAUGGUGUUUAUCAGAACACGUGAUCCAUUUAUGUUAUGCCACGUCGUGGGCUUCCAUGCACCACGUCGUGGCAUAGGGUUUUCUCCAAAAAAAAACCUUAUCUUUGGCCCUAUUAAAUCAUUGACUGAUCCAUUAUGGAAAAUGGGUGUUACAUUGAUAAAUGUGAAGUUUAAGUUAGAAUUGUUGGGUUUUGUGUACUAUAACACUCCUAUGGUGCACAUACAACCCUAAUAGCUUUGGAUCUAAGUUUUCUCUAGUUAUACAUGCAAAAAAAUUAUCCAAAUCAUAAAACCUAUCUAGCAUACAAAUUUGGUACAUAAAUCAUAAAACUAGUUGGAAGAAUACCUCUUAUUUAUAGCUUGUAGUUGUUGGACUUUCAAGAGCUUAGCACCUCAAGUGUGAUGCCUCAAACAAGUCACAAACACCAUAAACAAAUUGAGAAUGAUGAGAGAGGUUAUGGAGCACACAAAAUUGUCCAUCUCUUAGAAUAAACCACUCUUGGUCCGAUUUUUGGCUUUAGUGGGUUACAUAUAUAGUGUAGAAUUCCAAGAGUUACAUGUAACACUAAUUCUUACACUUAGGCUUAUGAUCCAUAACUUAUUUGGAAUAAUAAUUUAUGGAAUUUCACAUAAUCUUAGCCCAUUACAAAUUAAUCAUGGAUCAUUAGCCCAAAACAUAUGUCUCACUAAUUUACAUAGUUAGUCUCCGUUAAUUUAAUUAGUCUCUUUUGAUCACUCAAGUAAUUCCAAAUUAAUUCUUGAUCAAUACUAAUUAAAUAAUAUGAUUUCUCGGUUAAUAUAUUAUACCUAUAAUAUAUUAAUAAAUCACAAGUAACCUCUUUCUCAAAUAUCCAUCCUGUCAAAUUGUUUUGGUGAAGGCAACCCGAAAUGGACCAUGCUACCCUCGGGUCAAGUACAUACCAAUUAUAGUUAUGGGCUUAGACGCCUAAUCCAACAGUCUACCACUUGGAUAAUUCUAAUAACUAAAAGUGCAGGUACAACUUCAAAACCCGACUAGCAAUUGUAGCUCUCAAAAGCCGUUGUUGAAUUCUGAUCUUAUCAGCAACGCAUCCAUUAGAUAAGGGAUCAUAUAUUCCUCCAUUUUAGAUAUCGUAUGAACUGAGACAUGGAUUAUAAUAAUUAUCUCUAUUCAUGUGUUUUUUCCCGAUUUCCAAUUUAUGACGACCGACUAAUUAAACACAUCAAAUCAGUCCAGGCUUGGCCAAUGGCUUAGGGUUGUCAUCACUAAAUCAUCGAGGGGCCCACAGAUAUCACUUUUAUCCCUCUUAGGUAAAAGGAACGGAUAAACUUCGCCUCAUAUGCUUCCUCUAUGUACUCAUCAAAUCACACACAAUAAUACGUUAUAUAACACCAAGUUACUGGUGCGUUUUCAUAUCAUCAAUGUGCAACCGACUUGUGAGCUGCAACUCAUAUCUCUCUAUUUCAAGAAUAUAAGAUAUUAUCGUCUCACAAUCACUCGUGAUAAAAUCCAUGAAGUGAUUCAGAUUAGCGUAGGUUAAAUCCAAUACUCAAAUCUUAUUACAGGAAUACUCAUGAAUACUGUAGCAAACUUGUGCUAUGUCUAACACUUUAGACAAUCUACAGACGGAACCAUGACAAUCUUGCCUCAAUACCUACUUCCAAAGUAUUAUCGACUGUGGAUGUUUUGAAUAAUCUUAUUAUUUGGGAAGUCAAAACAUGCGAAGUGAAAAACAAGAAUAAUCGAAUCCAAUAUGGUCUCAAAACUUUUGAAUAUAAAUAAAACACCUUUUAUUUAAUCACCAUAUUGAUUACACAUUGUUCAUUGUAUGAUGUUUCGAUUAAUCAACUUAAUACUUGAAUUAAAACAAUAGUCAUCCCAUACUCCAAACAUGCACACUAUGUUUACCUAUGGUCCUUACUUUGUGAAAUAGAUCAAUUGUAAACAUUUCCAUUGACAUUCAUUUCACAAUUUCAAAUCAUUAUCGUAACUGUAAGAAUACCAAUUCCUUGCCACUUACUGUAAUCUGUUAGAUUCUAAGCUUAUAUGCAGUGAUCCUUUUGUAACGACUAUAUACACAAGUCAUAGAGACUUUUCCAAAUACAAAACUUUCCAUUGGAAAUUGUUACAAGAAAAUUCCAUAGAUACGAUGUCUCAUAAUCACAGCACAUUCCUUUGAACAUUCUUCUUGCAUAAAAGUUCCUAACUUACUCAUAGAUUCUUGAUAUCCAACUCCCAUUAUGGAAACUUUUCCAUAAUUCUCAUAUGACUAUCCAUUAUUAAUAGAAUCCUAUCUAUUCAGAAUUAUAUCAAUAUGGUCCAUUCAUUACUAUACUCCUAAUUGUCCAUAAGUAACCAAUCCUUGGUAAACAUCAGAUUGUCCUUGACAGUUGUUUAAUAACUUUAGUCAUAUCCGGUUCUAGUCUUUUUUUCCCUCUUAAUACCCUAUACAUUUGGAAAAUUAGAACACGUGAAUAUUAUAGCAUAUUCAAUCGAUCCUAUAUCUGAAGCAUAUGGGGCACGAUUCAUAAUGUCUUACAUAAAGACAUGAUACAUGACCAAUCUUUUUCUAUAAUAUUUCCAUAUAUAGAAUUUCUAAUGUUGAAAUAUUUCAACAUGGUAUUCAUAUAUCCAUGACUAAGUUUGAUUAAUACUUCAAUCUAAACUUUUAGAUUCGAAAUAAAGUAUAAGUAUCUUCUUCCUUACUAUAGCAAAACCAUUUUUCAAACUCUGUUUCCUAUAACUAGUAUUGCUAACUGGAAAGACUUCACAUAAUAAUAAGCAUGCUCCCACUAGCAUGAUAAUUAUAUUCUUACUAGCAUAACACUUAUGUUCCCACUAACUUUGACAUGUAAUCAUAAAUCAACUGGACUUCUAGAAAUCAAUACUUAUUGACUUUCUUACCAAAAUUCAGAUUUAUGAUACGAGAUGCUUCGAUAAGCCUUUAUGUAAGCUCAUACACCUUUUAUUAGAAAGCUCAUAUGUGUGUCUAAACUAUUCAGAACUUACAACAAUAAGUUCUGAAUGUUCAAACUAUUUUCCAUUUCUCACAAUUCGAACUAUGAAGAGAGAUGUCAUAAUCAUAAUCGAAUUUGAGAAUGCAAUUAAGACAACUACUAUCUCCUUAAAAUCUACUUAGUGAAAACGUUUCCUGACAAUCAUUUUCAUGAAUUGGAGAGAAACCUUAUGUCACUUAGAUUUUAUGGUGUAUGUGUUCCUAUCCAUGUGAAUUUUUUUUAUUCCCAACCAUUAUCAUAAGACAAGGUCUAUGACAAAUUCAAACUCAUAUGGAUUGAACUUGUUCAAUCUUAACUUCUUGCCACUUGUCAGCACAAGGGCCUACCAUGUCUUCCAAGUUGUUAAGCAGCUCAUCCUUAUUGAUCAAUGAACUUUCACUGAUCAAGGUGCUUUACCUUAUGCAGACAAAUGAGAACUCAUAUAACUCACAUGCAUAGUCAACUUUAACUGGAAUGAGCACAGAAACAAGAAUAUGUCAACACGAUAAGUUACAAACCUCAAGUCGUGUGCUAGUGAUUAACAAUUUCUUUACUCUUGAUUAGUUCUUGAAAGUUUUCAAGAUCUUCAAGACUCCUACUGACCUCUUGACAUAUAAGAUUCUCUGUCAAGAAAACAUUCCUUGACAAACAAAUAUUCAAGAAUUAGUGUGGUUUCUUAUCAAGAUUAACACUUCAAUCAAUUAGUCUUAGUUGGUCUUUGUCUUAUCCAAAACAUCACAACUACUAAUUCCAAAUGUGCAAGAGCAAGAAAACUUUUCUACUUCACAUUUCAUGAUGUGUUAUAAGCCUACUUAGGACAUGUCACUCAAGACACAAUCUUGGAGUAUGACUCUAAGACUUGAUUUUGGAACGAAGUAUGAUUUAUCAUCUUUAUUUAACCAUUUCAACAAUUUCUGAUUCCUCUUCUUAGCUAUGCAAGUGCACUAAGGUGUCCUUAGAGGGUCAAUUAUGACAUGGUUCCAUAAUCAAUAGGAUUAUCAUAAAACAUGAUACUAGAGUACUCUCCUUUCCUUUCAGAUUGGAGAAACUUUUAUCUUUCUACCUAAUUGAUUAUUCUUAUUCGUUCUGCUGUACGUUGAAACCUUUUCAAUGAUUCAGAAUCAGACUUAAUCUUGUAAGCAUAAUCAUAUUCCCUAAGCCUUUAGUAAAUAAUGAUGAUCAGAUUUAUCAUUCUUUAUGGUGGACAUGACCAGUGCACAACAAGGUGUACUAGAUCCCCUAGUCCUUCACUUGACUCACAUCUAUAUGUGAACAAGGGAUUAGUCUUAAUUUCCCAAAGAUGAAGGUUCUCAUUCAUCAUACAAUACAAGUUGCAUGAUUUCAAGUUUCUUUCCAAUUGAAACUUGGGUGAUGAGAAUUUUUCCAUAUUUGGUAAAUUUAGACACUACUACAAACGAAAUAAUCAAAUCCAUAUUGCUAAAAAGUAGAAACAUACAAACAUCAAUUUCACAAAUGUCAUUGCAAGGAAAUAUAAACAACAUAAAAUCAAAAUUUUUCUUUAUUUAUAAAAUGCAGAAAACCUUUCCUUACAAUGCAAGUACAUAUGAAAACUAUGUUUCUAAAUAUUACUAAGCAAUCUAUCAUAACUCCUAAGCAGCAGCUCAAAAUUCUUACCAUCGAAUCAUGCGAUUGAAAUCCAUUUCUUCACGGUCACACUCAGCAUGCUCUUUCUUUAAGCUUCCUUUUUCUUCUUCGAUCCUACAAAAAAUCAAAGUGUAAUCUCAUCACAUCAUGUAUUAAGAAUCUUCAAAUAGGAACUUAAUAGAGUUUGAUAUUGGACUUACCUGAAGCAUAGUCAUACAUUUUGACUUUACAAUCCUUAUGGUCCUUCAGGUAGAUACGGCAGCUUCGCAUCCAAUACCCCUUCUCUUGGCAAUAAAAGCAAACAGAUUCUUUUGGAAUGGAACACAAGACAAUCUCAGACUUAGUAUUUCCCUUUCCAUUGGGAAGACUUUUCUGGACUUCUAAUGUUUACAUUGUCAAUGUCCUUGGAAGUUUGGGAAGUAGAUCUUCCAAUCACAUUUGCUUUACCAGUACGCUAAAUCAUUGCAAAUUCAGCAGUAAUUAGCAAAUAGGUAAGAUCGAUAAGGAUCAUGUCGCGGUCUGUCAUAUACUAAUCUUUUAUGAACUCACAAUAUGACUUAGGAAGUGGUUGAAGAACCAAGUCAACAACCAACUUCCUUGACACAAUGACUCCUAACAUUCCUAGCUUGUCAAUAUGUGACUUCAUCUAAGACAUGUACAUACACAGACCUUCCAUCUUCAUGUUCGCUUGUCAAUAAGGCUUGAGUGGCCUUGAACUUUUCAAGUCGACGAACAUGUGGGCCAGGGAGAAUUAUUGGAGGGGUGGAGGAAUUGAAGUAUGAUAUUGUGGAAUAUCAUCUUUAUGUGGAAAGCUUUUUCCAACAGGAUAAGUGUAACGACCCAAUUUUUCAAAACAAAAUUUUCAUUUUUGAUUAACCAAACACAUCUCCAUAAAUCACGAAAUCCAAUUAUACUUCUUUUCAAAACUCAUAUCAAUUACAACUUUUAUUUCAAAACAUUAGAGUGUCCCAUAAAACGCAUGGGAGAGUGCACGCUGUGCCAUCAAGGUUUGCCCUUGCCCUUGGGCUCGGAUGUACCUGAAACAAAUCCACAAACUGUAAGCUAAUGCUUAGUGAGUCCCCCAGAGCAUACCCCACACACAAUCCACAUAACACAUAUCAUAUUAGCUAUAAAAGCUACAUAAACCACAUAAUCCAUGCAUACUAACAUAUAAGGAUGUCGUGCACCCCCCCCCCCAGGGUCUUAUACUUUCAUGCUAUGGGCUCCCCAACAUGGUCUUUACCUAGGAAUGCAAUGGGAUCCCCCACAUGGUCUUAUAUCCAACUUCCAUGGGCUCCCCCUGAGGUCUUCCAUGCAAUAACAUACAUAAACAACUAGCAUAUCAUAUAUCACAAAAGUAUCUAUCAUACUACAUAACACAUACAUAAACAUAUAAGGAUGUCGUGGGCUCCCCCAAGGUCUUAUACCAUCAUGCCAUGGGCACCCCCACAUGGUCUUUACCUAGGAAUGCCAUGGGCUCCCCCACAUGGUCUUAUAUCCAACUGCCACGGGCUCCCCCUGGUGUCUUCCAUACAAAUAUCAUAUAAUCACUAGCAUACCACUUAGCAUAAAGCUAACUAUCAUACCACAUUGUAGGUUUUUGAGCAUUCUAACACUCCUAAGGUGUACAUGCAACCCUAGAAACCUUGGAUCUAUGUUUUAUCUAUGAUACAUGCAAAUUUGUUUUCCAAGUUUCAUAUCCUAUCUAGCAUAUAUGGGGAACUUUUAAACAUAAAAGUAAGCAAGAAAACAUACCUUAUAGUAGUUAGGAUUCCUUUAAAACCUUGUGAGCCUAGCACCUUAAGUGUGAUGCCUCAGAUGUUGAUGUGUGUGAACUCAACUAAUUUUGAACCUACUUUUAAUUAUAAAAUUAACACACAAAGGCAAUGGACCUAUCAAUUGUGGUGUAGCUAAAUAAGUAGGGUAUCGAACUCAGGGAAAGGAAAAUUUAAACUAAUAACUAAUAUUAUCUAAAAACAAGUAAUAAAAGGAAAUGUUUUCUCUAGUUUUGCAAGACUAGAAAACUUAAAUAAACUAACUAACUCGCAAUUUAACUAACUAGCAGCUAAAACAGGUUAUUACCACUAAAUUCAAUAAUUAAGAGAAAUUCUGUUUAGGUUUGACUCAUUUGAUCCCAUGGACGAUUUUAUAGUGAAUGUACGACCUAUUGUAGUAGGUACUAUAUGGAGACGUUUGGUUUCCAAGUUGGUCAUGAAAGGGGUUGGUAAAGAGAUGUCCAAAUAUCUCAAUGAUUUUCAGUUCGGAGUCGAGGUGUUGGGUGGCGCUAAGGCCAUUUUACAUAGCGUGAAUAGGUUGUUGACUGAGCGCCACGAUGACAAAUCUUUCUCUAUGCUUACCCUGGACUUCUAUAAUGUCUUUAACCUUGUUGACAGAUCUGCAUUACUUCAUGAGGUUAGAUUGAGGUGUCCCUCUAUUUCCUUAUGGGUAGAAUUCCUAUAUGGUCAAGCAGCAAGGUUAUAUCUAGGCAGCACACAUAUUAGGUCUUCUACUUGGGUUUAGCAAGGAGACCCCUUGGGACCACUUCUCUUUGCCAUUGUGUUGCACCUGCUCUUGCAUAAGAUUAGAGACAAUUUCAAGCUUCUUCUCCAUGCAUGGUACUUGGAUGAUGGCACACUUAUCGUAGAUUCGGAGGAGGUGGCCAAAGCAUUGGACAUCAUUACGGUGAUUGGCCCAAAAUUGGGCAUUCAGCUAAAUAUCAACAAAAACCGAGCUCUUUUGGCCCUCGUGUGAUGGUAGGAAGUUACGGGAGGGGCUAUUUCUGGCGGACAUCGGGAGGCCUCCUUUGGGGGUGAAACUUCUUGGGGGAGCUGUUAGUAGAGAUGCUAGUUUCAUUCGCAGCUUAGCCAUAAAGAGAGCCGAAAACGUUGUGAAUUUGAUGUGCCUUCUUCCACAAUUGUCUGAACCCAAGAGUGAGCUCCUUCUUCUUCGGUCUUGUAUGGGUAUUGCUAAGCUUUUCUUUGGGUUGAGGACAUGCCAACCUGUUCACAUGGAGGAGGCGGCAAUAUUCUUUGACAAUGGAUUGCGCGGGGCGAUUGAGGACAUUGUGGUUUGUGGGAGCCCUUUCUUUGGUGACAUACAAUGGCGAAUUGCUUCCUUACCCAUUAGGUUUGGGGGUUUGGGUUUAUACUCGGCAGUAGAGGCUACCUCCUAUGCUUUUGUUGCCUCAAGGGCCCAAUCUUGGGUAUUGCAAGAUCACAUCUUACGGGAUAGCGGUAUACAUGGUAUGGAUUAUGAUUAUGAUUGUGCCUUGCCAUCCCUUCGCAACAAGCUUCUAGAUUUUGACCUUAACAAUUUUACUAUUAAAGAAACCAACCCUAAAUCCCAGAAUACACUGGCGAGUGCCCUUUUUCGUAAAAUUGUCCAAGAUAUGGAAGUGCAUCUCGACAUGACGGCUCGGCAGAAAGCGGUUUUCCAGUGCUUAUGUGCACCACAUGCUCAAGAUUUCUUCUGGCUAUCCCUAUAGAUGGGCUUGGCCAACACAUGUAUCCUGUGGAGUAUCGUACUAUUCUCAAAUAUCGACUCAUGAUUCUCAUAUUCCCAGCUGACGAGAUAUGUCCUAUGUGUCGCAAGGCAUGUUUGGACUCUUUUGGAGAGCAUGCAGUUCACUGUAAAGAACUCCCGGGGUUCAAAUACAGGCACGAUAUGGUUAGGGAUGUUUUGUUUGACAUAUUUAAGCAUGCCGGGGUUUCCGCUAAGAAAGAGGCACCUGUUAAUUUCAGACCGGCUGACAUUUUGAUUUUUGGAUGGGUCGGAGGGAAACACGCAUGUGUGGAUCUUACAGAAGUAUCCCCUCUCGUGGGCCUGAGGGUUGGGGGUUUCACGGCGGGACAUGCUGCUUUAAAAGCAGCUACAGGCAGAGUCACUAAACAUGAGAGAUCGUGCAUGAAAAUCAACACAUGUUCAUACCAUUUGUAUUUGAUACGUUUGAUUUCCUCGCACCGGAUACGGUAGAGCUUCUUAAAAUAGUACAACAAAUCAUGUAUAGUAAUGUUAUAUCCCCUAGAUCUUCGGAUGUAGUCUUUAAAAUAAUUAGCUUUACCAUUCAAAAAGGCUGAGCAGCACAGCUUGUUGCCCGUUCGCCAUUUCACUCAUUGUACGAUGACAAUUAAAAUAUAUGAUUAAGUUGUUCGAUAUUAAAAACUUUGACAAAAAAAAUCUUUAUUGGUUACCGAUUGAGGAGAUUAGGUUCAC